CGGACGGGUGAGUAACGCGUGGAAAACCUGCCGUAUACUGGGGGAUAACACUUAGAAAUAGGUGCUAAUACCGCAUAAGCGCACAGCUUCGCAUGAAGCGGUGUGAAAAACUCUGGUGGUAUACGAUGGUUCCGCGUCUGAUUAGCUAGUUGGUGGGGUAAUGGCCUACCAAGGCAACGAUCAGUAGCCGGCCUGAGAGGGUGAACGGCCACAUUGGGACUGAGACAUGGCCCAAACUCCUACGGGAGGCAGCAG
rnacentral:rRNA from 1 species